AUUGAACGCUGGCGGCAUGCUUUACACAUGCAAGUCGAACGGUAACAGGUGAAGCUGACGAGUGGCGAACGGGUGAGUAAUGCAUCGGAACGUGCCCGGUCGUGGGGGAUAACGCAGCGAAAGCUGCGCUAAUACCGCAUACGAUCUGAGGAUGAAAGCGGGGGACCGUAAGGCCUCGCGCGAUCGGAGCGGCCGAUGUCAGAUUAGGUAGGUGGUGGGGUAAAGGCUCACCAAGCCGACGAUCUGUAGCUGGUCUGAGAGGACGACCAGCCACACUGGGACUGGGACACGGCCCAGACUCCUACGGGAGGCAGCAGUGGGGAAUUUUGGACAAUGGGCGCAAGCCUGAUCCAGCAAUGCCGCGUGCAGGAAGAAGGCCUUCGGGUUGUAAACUGCUUUUGUACGGAGCGAAAAGGCUCUCUCUAAUACAGGGGGCUCAUGACGGUACCGUAAGAAUAAGCACCGGCUAACUACGUGCCAGCCGCCGCCGUAA
rnacentral:rRNA from 1 species